GAGGAGAACUCGUAUCUGUCCUGGCUGCGGUAGCCGCACACGUUGCACUCGAACGGGUCGCGGAACCCGUGGCAGCCCAUGUGGAUGGUGAACAUGACGUAAUCCAGGAACGGAAUCGAGUCAAUGACAGGCCGUGCACAACAGGGCAGGGAGGCACCGGCGUGCAACAGACCACAGACUGUGCAAGAAGAAAAAAUAGAUAAGCAUUGAGAACAUGAGAUGAAGAGUGCUUGAAAGCAUACUCAAUGAAUCCAUAACGGAAUAAUAACUACAACAGAAUCUGUGAAAGACGGCACCGACCUGACCGUUCAAUGAGAGUGCCGAAGACAACAAACUGCGCCAGUACAAACAGAAAAGAAAUAAUAGUAUGAAAUGAAAAAAUCAA